rnacentral:rRNA from 1 species
CCUGCCGUAUGCAGGGGGAUAACAGUUAGAAAUGACUGCUAAUACCGCAUAAGCGCACAGUAUCGCAUGAUACAGUGUGAAAAACGAUAGUGGCAUACGAUGGACCCGCGUCUGAUUAGCUAGUUGGCGGGGUAACGGCCCACCAAGGCGACGAUCAGUAGCCGGCCUGAGAGGGUGAACGGCCACAUUGGAACUGAGACACGGUCCAAACUCCUACGGGAGGCAGCAGUGGGGGAUAUUGCACAAUGGGGGAAACCCUGAUGCAGCGACGCCGCGUGAGUGAAGAAGUAUUUCGGUAUGUAAAGCUCUAUCAGCAGGAAAGAUAAUGACGGUACCUGACUAAGAAGCACCGGCUAAAUACGUGCCAGCAGCCGCGGUAAUACGUAUGGUGCAAGCGUUAUCCGGAUUUACUGGGUGUAAAGGGAGCGCAGACGGCAUGGCAAGCCAGAUGUGAAAGGUGGGGGCUCAACCCCCAAGCUGCAUUUGGAGCUGUCAAGCUAGAGUAUCGGAGAGGUAAGCGGAAUUCCUAGUGUAGCGGUGAAAUGCGUAGAUAUUAGGAGGAACACCAGUGGCGAAGGCGGCUUACUG